UACGUAGGGCGCAAGCGUUGUCCGGAUUUAUUGGGCGUAAAGAGCUCGUAGGCGGUUUGUCGCGUCUUCCGUGAAAACUGGGGGCUUAACUUCCAGCUUGCGGUGGAUACGGGCUGACUGGAGUGCGGCAGGGAAGACUGGAAUUCCUGGUGUAGCGGUGAAAUGCGUAGAUAUCGGGAAGAACACCCGUGGCGAAGGCGGCUCUCUGGGACGGUACUGACGCUGAGACGCGAAAGCGUGGGGAGCGAACAGG
rnacentral:rRNA from 1 species